AAACAUCUUGCUCCGCUCUGUGGUCUAAAUCAUCGGACAGUGACUUUGCUGCUGCCUGUUCUUGGGUGCCUUACAGAGUCUGCUAGGAUGGCAAUUACAUUCCUGCUUUAAAUCUUUUUAGAUAUUUACUCUUAUCUCAAAAAUAAGAGGUGGCGAACUUUUGAAAGCCAAGGGGCUGUAUGUGGACAGGGUACAUUUUUGAUUGGCAGGAUGUCAACUCCUUGAGCCAUCCAGAAUAUAGCUUUUAAAUAAUAACUCAGCCAUGGGAAAUGCUUUUUAUUGCACCAAUUUCAAUGAUAUUUAAUGAGCUUCUGAUUGACUGUUUGAUCUCCCAAUGUUUUGUGCUACUUUUAAUUCAUUUCGUAUAAUAGAAAAAAAAGUAAUUGGAAUAAAAUUUUGUGACAAGAUAAUGACCUUCCACUUUGAAAUUAAAUGUCUGAUUAGCUUCAACAUUUUAAUGCUGAGAUGCUGCAGCAGCAGGCGGAGUGUGCGUACUGUCUUUCCAUGGAAAGUGACUGAGGAAUGGCUUUGUUUAUUGUAGAGCUGGAGGGUGUGGUGGCUCUGGAAUCAGACACAUAGGCCUGGAAGGGAAGGACGCAGUCUGACUGAACCGGUGACUGUGGUUUGUAACAACUCUGACACGUGGUUGUACAAACCAUGCUUGGCUGGCAGAGAUGGAGAUCUCACUAUCUCCAGAUACAUCAUCCAUUCACCCAGGGAGCCUCAGACUUGCUAUGUGGCAGAGGAUGACCUUGAACUUCUGACUCUUCUAUCUGUACCUCUCAAGUGCUGGGAUUAUGGUUGUGAGUUUUUGUACUGAUGGGGAGUCGAACUAGGGCCUUGUGUUUGCUAGGAUCUGACUGUCAGAAGAGACAGUUCGUUUCCAAACCAGCCGCUUCUGGGUGACCGUGCUUCUGCCGGAUGUAGUGACACACGCCUUUAAUCCCAGAAGAGCCAGGUGGAUCUCUGUGAAGUCGAGGCCAGCCUGGUCUACAGAGCGAGAUCCAAGACAGCCAGGGCUACAUAGUGAGACUCUGUCUGUCAGACAAAAACAUAACAAAAACCCCACACAUAUAAUCGGCUUCCAUUCUCCCCUCCACUGUCGUGUCCGUCCAUCUGUCCGUCUGUCCCCGCCCCCUGUAUCCCGGGUGAAAUGCAGAGUUGCAGUUGCUGACGAAAGGUCUUCAUGAUCUACGGCCGCCACCCCGGUCUCUCGAGGCCAUUCCUUCUCCCUCUCUGUUCCUCUCCCCACUCCAGUCUUACUGGUCUUUUCAAACAGGGAGAAGGUAUCUUACUGGAAGUGCACUUUCCCAAGGUGUCCAUCCACACAGCUCUUCCAUAUCUUCUGUAGACUUCGCUGUGGCAUCCCUGCUCAUUGAGGCCUUCACUAGGUUCCCUGCUUACAGCUGUGACCCUGCACACACACACACACACACACACACACACACACACACACACACACCCCUUUCUUUCUGGUACUGGCACUGUCUCUCAUGCUCUUGAGAGGAGAUUAUAAGCCCUUACGGGAGGUUUGCCGAGUCCACAGUGUAUAGAAUAGUGCCUUGCACACGGUAGAGGCCUGGUGAACUUGCUGUGUGAGGGAAUGAGUUUAAGGGCUGUGGAAGCAGUUGGAGGAAGCGCUAGGUGGACAUGGGACAGAGUGGCAGUCGUCACACGAGGAGGAGGAGAACACAGACGCACACGUUCUGUUGUGUUCAGCUCUGAGCAGUGGAAAGGUGGUCUCUGUUUUGAACUUAAAUUUUCUCACUUGCUUCGCCUGCCUUGUUGGCCCUUCCGAUUAACCAGGGAGGCUCAAUCUUCUCCUCAUUCUCUCUUCCGAAUGGAGUCUGUGGCAGUUUCCUCUCCUUUCUGUAAAGGAGGGUCUGUAGAGCCUGUUUGGGAAAGUGAUACCUUUUAAAAGAGCGCAUAAGGGCAGUCGGUUUUUAAAAAUCAAAUUGCUGUUUCUUUUCACUAAUAGUAUUCUAGAUUCAUGAGAGAGGCCCAGGUCCCGGGAUCCCCUGAGAACCGGAGCCCAGGCCCUGGGUUCUCAGAGCCUAGGACCCAGGUUCCCCUGAGAACUGGAGCCCGGGCCUCAGGUUCCCAGAGCCUAGGACCCAGGUUCCCAUGAGAACUAGAGCCCAGGCCCCAGGUUCCCAGAGUCUAGGACCCAGGUUCCCGUGAGAACUGGAGAUGGUCUGAUGCCGAGUAGACAUGCAUGCUCCUGAGAUGUUAUGAGCCAUCUGCCUCCAUGUUCCUUCUGCCUGUUCAGUUCCUGUGUCCAUUCAUCCUGGUGGAGCCUGCCUGUUCCUUGCUAGUCGGCAUGACCCCAGAGGUUGUCAGCUGUGUGCAGAAUGUAUUUUUUUAUCAGAUUCUGAAGUGUCGGCAUUGAUUGCCAUUGCCUAAUUGGGUCUUGAUGAUGGAUCGUUUCAUCCAUGAACACCCCCCAUAUUACAGUGUGAGCAUCACUUCCCUUGAAGCCAAGAGGACGGGGGAACAAAGAGUUGAAGAGAUUUCUCCACACUCACAGCCAAUUUGAAGAGUUUAACUGGAAAUUCUUCUAUUUAACCAAAGUAGCCAGCAUCCCUGGUGAAGAUGUGUAAAUUUAACCUUUUAGUCUCUUAUUCGUUACUUUCCUUCAGUUCUUAAAGAAACAUCCCUCUACCCCGAGAGCAGAAAUCACCAUGAACAGAAAUAUUCAAUGUCUGGGAUAUUUAAGAAAACAAACGGGAUGUUGAAGCGUUGGAAGAAAAAAGAGAGUUUAGAAGAUAGAUAGCAGAGUGAUAAACUGUGUGUGAGCCAGUUCUCAGGUUACUAUGGCAAGAUCAGUUUCCCUGGCCUCUGCUAGCUCUCUCCCUGCCUAAGGACUGUAUUGUAAUUGAAUGAUCAGGUCAUACUCAGUUGUAGUGUUUAAGCCAAGGUUUGAUCUCACAGUCACAGGAGCAUGGCCUUCCACAGAGAGGGUCCUGGAGUGAAGCAGUGAAAUACAUCCCUAGAUAUUGGCAACUUUUGGUUUUGUGAUAUCACAUAGAAUAUAUAAAUUAAUCCAUGCCAUUUGUCCCACGGCCCAGAAAGCAACUGGGUUUUCUGGCUGCUGGGGUAUUUCAUAGCUUGCUAACAAAGCUGCUGUGGAAACCAAUAGAAAUACGUUUUCAUGGCAAAAAAAUUAAUUUUGUUCUAAGUAAUUUUUUUCACUAUCUAGGUUGCUAGAUGCUUCGGGUCUGCCUUCAGGGCUAGGAAAUACGCUAUUUUGUUCUAAAUCUCUUCUCUGUCUUUGUAAAGCAGCUGGUGUUGACUUCGAGAGUUGCAUGAAGAUUAAAAAUGACUUACUAGGCAGUGAGAUUGCUCAGGGGGUGAAGACGCUCGGUGCUAACCCUCAUGACCCGAGUUCAAUCUCCACAGCUCAUGGGACAGAAGGAGCGAACCGACUCCUGCAAGUUGUCCUC